UACGAGGGGUGCAAGCGUUGCUCGGAAUUAUUGGGUCGUAAAGGGUUGGUAGGUGGUCUUGUUUGUCUAAGGUGAAAUCCCAAUGGGCUUAACUGUGGAAGUGCCCUAGAAACGGCAAGACUAGAGUCCUAGAGGGGUUCGUGGAAUUCCCGGUGUAGCGGUGAAAUGCGUAGAGAUCGGGAGGAACACCAGCGGCGAAGGCGGCGAACUGGAUAGGCACUGACACUCAACAACGAAAGCGUGGGGAGCAAACAGG
rnacentral:rRNA from 1 species